rnacentral:tRNA from 1 species
GAAGGUAUAGCUCAAGUGGUAGAGCCCCUGCUUAGCAUGCAUGAGGUCCUGGGUUCAAUCCCCCGUAUCGCCU